GUUUUUAGGAAGUGCUAUGGAUGCAAAGUAGGCAAAACUCCUCCCCUUCUCUGUAUACAGUAUAAAGAGAGUAUGACCACUGUCUCUCCAUCAGUAGAGAAGACCAGCUCCCUCCAGUUCAUCUUCAACACCAUCAACCAUGUUCUCUGUUUCUCUGCUGCUGCUGCUGCUGCUGCUACUGGCAGGUGCAUCCUGUGUGAACAGUCAACAACUCACCCAGCCAGCCUCUAUGACUGUCCAGACAGGUCAAGUACUGACCGUCACCUGUCAGGUCUCCUACUCUGUUAGUCCUGGUGGCUACUGGACUGCAUGGAUUCGACAGCCUGCAGGGAAAGGACUGGAGUGGAUUGGGAGCAUUUAUACAGGAGGCUUAUUCAACAAAGACUCCCUAAAGAAUAAGUUUAGUUUAACAGCAGACGGUUCCAGUCGCACUCUGACUUUAACAGGACAGAGUCUACAGACUGAAGACACAGCUGUGUAUUACUGUGCCCGACAUGCACUGUAAUUGAAAACAACAGUAAAUUUGUACAAAAACUGUUCCC